rnacentral:rRNA from 1 species
UACGUAGGGGGCUAGCGUUGUCCGGAAUCAUUGGGCGUAAAGAGCGCGCAGGCGGUCGUUCAAGUCGAGUGUGAAAGCCCCCGGCUCAACUGGGGAGGGUCAUUCGAUACUGAUUGACUCGAAGGCAGGAGAGGGAAGUGGAAUUCCCGGUGUAGUGGUGAAAUGCGUAGAUAUCUGGAGGAACACCGGUGGCGAAGGCGGCAUCCUGGACCGACACUGACGCUGAGUGAGCGAAAGCCAGGGGAGCAAACGGG